GAUGAAGAACGCAGCGAAAUGCGAUACUUGGUGUGAAUUGCAGAAUCCCGUGAACCAUCGAGUCUUUGAACGCAAGUUGCGCCCGAAGCCAUUAGGCCGAGGGCACGCCUGCCUGGGCGUCACACGUCGUUGCCCCCCCAUCUACUCCUUCGGGAUUGCGGGGGCGGAUGAUGGCCUCCCGUGCGCCUCGCCGCGCGGUUGGCAUAAAUGCCAAGUCCUCAGCGACGCACGCCACGACAAUCGGUGGUUGCGAAACCUCGGUUGCCCGUCGUGUGCGGUCGUCGCGCAUCGAGGGCUCGAAAAAAUUGCCGGGUUCCGGCUCGGCUUUCAACGCGACCCCAGGUCAGGCGGGGUUACCCGCUGAAUUUAAGCAUAUCAAUAAGCGGAGGA
rnacentral:misc_RNA from 1 species